CCAUCUCAAAAAAAAAAAAAAAAGAAAAAAAAGAAAAUACAUCUUCAGAGAGUAUGUAAACUGAGGCCAGAGCCUCUAUUUCCUCAUCUGUAGGUUGGGGAUGAUUAUGUACUUGCCUUAUGGGUUGUCAUGGAGAUUGCAGAGAACAAUUCAUGUAAAUUGAAGUCACAUGUCCUCUGAUACACCCGAGCCUCAAUGUGAGAGGGAUCAGCCCCACCUAUGUAGCACGCAGUCCCCCGGCCCUGCUUCAGGGGCUGGGGGCCAGGCUCUGGACCAGCCUGCCGGAGACCAAGCCCCAGCUCUGCCACUGACUGGCUAGGGCUCCUCAGGUAGAGUUCUUAAGCUGCCUGUUUCUCAGGUGCCCUAACUGUAAAAUAGGGCUGGCAACAGGACCCGGCCCUUGCCCUUGUGAAAACGAAGCCAGCUGAUACCCAAGGCCUGCCACAGAAUCAGCCCCCAUCCUGAGCCUGCAUCAGCCAAGAAGGAAAAAGGUUCCACAGCCAACUGCAACCAGUGCUUUGCCUACAGGAUAUUCCAUUUGGAGCCCCAGGCCCAUGUGGCCCUUCUGCCAGAGCCAGGGAGCCCACUGCAGCCCUGAGGGCACUCACAUGGACAUGUUCUGGAAGCCUGUGCCAUUCUCCCAGCUGUCGAAGACGGGGAUUGUGCAGGGUGAGAGAAUGGUCCUCCAUGGCCCAGGGACAUCACCCAGGCAGCACUACCCACUGGGUGCAUAGGUGCAUGCCGACAGGGAAACUGAGGCGAAGAAGGGGCAGGGAUCCCACAGCAGUCGCACCACAAGGCUGGUCUCCCGCCUCCUGGUCCCCACCCUCUGGAGAAGCACACCCAGUUCUAGUGG
rnacentral:lncRNA from 1 species